rnacentral:rRNA from 1 species
GACGGGAGAUGCAAGCGUUAUUCGGAUUUAUUGGGCGUAAAGGGUUUGUAGGUUGUUGGUUAAGUCUAUGGUCAAAUUCCGAAGCUCAACUUCGGGCCGGCACUAGAAACUAAUCAACUUGAGUACGUUAGAGGCAGGGGGAAUUCCCAGUGUAGCGGUGAAAUGCGUAGAUAUUGGGAGGAACAUCAAUGGCGAAGGCACCCUGCUAGGCCGAUACUGACACUGAAAAACGAAAGCUAGGGGAGCAAAUGGGAUUAGAUACCCCAGUAGUCCUAGCCGUAAACGAUGGAUACUAAACAUUGCGUGCUCGCCGUGGUGUUAUAGCUAACGCGUUAAGUAUCCCGCCUGGGGAGUAUGCUCGCAAGGGUG